GGUGUGUAUAACUAAUUAAACCACACAAUCUAAUUAUAGCUGGCAGGCCUGGUGGGAGGAGGUGGGUAAGUUCAAGUGUUUCACUCUGAUACAAGUCGUGUGCACUUAUGAAAUUACUUGUGCUAUAUCUUCGUUAUAUGCCAAGAAUCCGACCUUGAUCUUGGCACUGUUACGUAGUUUUAGGCACUGAAAUUUCCUGCCUCUUCAACCGGCGCGCCAUAGAUUAAGAUAAAGCUAUUAUGUCAUGUAAUCGUGUUAAUCCAGGCAUGACAUAAAAAUCCAUAUUUCCUGGGAAAUAUUUUUAUUUUAUGUCCCGCCUUCCUUCAGUUAAUAGACUACGGAUAUCCAAUUAGCGUUGCAUUAACCAAGCUAUGUUUACUGGCAAGCAAUAAAUGGACAAUGUCUUUAUGGGUAAAUUUUGGCUAUGAACAAUUCAUAGCCGCUUUAUUGAAAAUGAUUAUAUAAAAAUCAAUAAUAACAUAUUUUAAUCAUCAGAAUAAUACUAGAGUUCAUUUUGAUUUAUAUAUUGAUGUUCAAUUGCCAGUAAAGGUGGCAGGACUACACGCCAAAGACUUUGCAAUUCAUUUCCCAGUACGCAAAAGGAGGAAAUGAAUAUAAAAGUCUCCCCACCCGAGGGAAAUGCAACGCCAAGGACUAUAAUAAUACAUACCAAUGGAAAGUCAGUGUAUCAUAUACAAAUAAUAUUGGAUACACAAUAUUAUUUGAUUUAGAAAAGACAGACGCCCCUGCGCACCGUCGAAAUUGAUAUAGAUUGAAAACAUCGUUCAGGAUGACUGUUUCCAUAAAUGUUGAAACGACCGCCCUUGCU